GACGAACGCUGGCGGCGUGCUUAACACAUGCAAGUCGAACGAUGAAGCCCAGCUUGCUGGGUGGAUUAGUGGCGAACGGGUGAGUAACACGUGGGCAACCUGCCCCAAACUCUGGGAUAACUCCUCGAACGAGGUGCUAAUACCGGAUACGAACUAGACAGACAUCUGUACUAGUUGGAAAGUUUUUCGGUUUGGGAUGGGCCCGCGGCCUAUCAGCUUGUUGGUGAGGUAACGGCUCACCAAGGCUACGACGGGUAACCGACCUGAGAGGGCGACCGGUCACACUGGGACUGAGACACGGCCCAGACUCCUACGGGAGGCAGCAGUGGGGAAUAUUGCGCAAUGGGCGAAAGCCUGACGCAGCGACGCCGCGUGAGGGAUGAAGGUCUUCGGAUCGUAAACCUCUUUCAGUAGGGACGAAGCGAAAGUGACGGUACCUAAAGAAGAAGCACCGGCUAACUACGUGCCAGCAGCCGCAGUAA
rnacentral:rRNA from 1 species